UUCUAAGGGCGUUGAAGCAUGAUCGCAAGGACAUGUGGAGCGCUUAGAAGUGAGAAUGCCGGUGUGAGUAGCGAAAGACGGGUGAGAAUCCCGUCCACCGAUUGACUAAGGUUUCCAGAGGAAGGCUCGUCCGCUCUGGGUUAGUCGGGUCCUAAGCUGAGGCCGACAGGCGUAGGCGAUGGAUAACAGGUUGAUAUUCCUGUACCACCAUUAUUCGUUUUAAGCGAUGGGGGGACGCAGUAGGAUAGGCGAAGCGUGCUGUUGGAGUGCACGUCCAAGCAGUGAGAUUGAGUGUUAGGCAAAUCCGGCACUCUUAAGAUUGAGCUGUGAUGGGGAGAGGAACUUGUUCCUCGAGUCGUUGAUUUCACACUGCCGAGAAAAGCCUCUAGCUAGAAUAACGGUGCCCGUACCGCAAACCGACACAGGUAGUCAAGAUGAGAAUUCUAAGGUGAGCGAGCGAACUCUCGUUAAGGAACUCGGCAAAAUGACCCCGUAACUUCGGGAGAAGGGGUGCUCUUUGAGGUUCACGCUUCGAAGAGCCGCAGUGAAUAGGCCCAAGCGACUGUUUAUCAAAAACACAGGUCUCUGCUAAACCGUAAGGUGACGUAUAGGGGCUGACGCCUGCCCGGUGCUGGAAGGUUAAGAGGAGUGGUUAGCGCAAGCGAAGCUACGAAUCGAAGCCCCAGUAAACGGCGGCCGUAACUAUAACGGUCCUAAGGUAGCGAAAUUCCUUGUCGGGUAAGUUCCGACCCGCACGAAAGGCGUAACGAUUUGGGCACUGUCUCAACGAGAGACUCGGUGAAAUCAUAGUACCGGUGAAGAUGCCGGUUACCCGCGACAGGACGGAAAGACCCCGUGGAGCUUUACUGUAGCCUGAUAUUGAAAUUCGGUACAGUUUGUACAGGAUAGGUAGGAGCCUUAGAAGCGUGAGCGCUAGCUUACGUGGAG
rnacentral:rRNA from 1 species